rnacentral:rRNA from 1 species
UGGGGAAUCUUGCGCAAUGGGCGAAAGCCUGACGCAGCGACGCCGCGUGGGUGAUGAAGGCCUUCGGGUCGUAAAGCCCUUUCGACCGGGAAGAACGACCCCGCGGUGAACAGCCGUGGGGAGUGACGGUACCGGAAGAAGAAGCACCGGCUAACUCUGUGCCAGCAGCCGCGGUAAUACGGAGGGUGCAAGCGUUAAUCGGAAUUACUGGGCGUAAAGGGUGCGUAGGCGGCCGCUUAAGUCCUGUGUGAAAGGCCCCGGCUUAACCGGGGAGGGUCAUGGGAAACUGGGCGGCUUGAGUGCCGGAGAGGGUGGCGGAAUUCCCGGUGUAGCGGUGAAAUGCGUAGAGAUCGGGAGGAACACCAGUGGCGAAGGCGGCCACCUGGACGGUAACUGACGCUGAGGCACGACAGCUGGGGGAGCAAACAGGAUUAGAUACC